rnacentral:rRNA from 1 species
UACGAAGGGGGCUAGCGUUGCUCGGAAUGACUGGGCGUAAAGGGCGCGUAAGCGGUUUGUACAGUCAGGUGUGAAAUUCCCGGGCUCAACCUGGGGGCUGCACUUGAUACGUAGGAACUUGAGUGGGGAAGAGGGUCGUGGAAUUCCCAGUGUAGAGGUGAAAUUCGUAGAUAUUGGGAAGAACACCGGUGGCGAAGGCGGCGACCUGGUCCUUGACUGACGCUGAGGCGCGAAAGCGUGGGGAGCAAACAGG